rnacentral:piRNA from 1 species
UAAGAUGGAGAAUCAGGGUAGCUGGU